CAACAAAUUCAUCAGGGGUCAUUUAGGGAGGUAAAGAAGGGGCAUGUAAACUUGUGAGAACAACUGUAUUCUGCAGUUCAUCCCAACAUCAAGAGAGAAGAAAAGAUGGAAAACAUCAGCUGCAGUGUGGACCUGGCAGCAUGCACACUGCCCACCCCGGUCCCACCCAGAGGAGGCAGAAACUACAGUGGAGUACUUCAUUGCCUCAUCCUCUGUUGUGUCUGUGCUCCUCUUGAGUCCGUUCACGCCCACCCUGGUGCUGACUCAGGCUGAGCCCUAACCUUUGAUGUGACCACAGGGAGGAAGAGGAGGUCGAGCAUCCUGACAGACUAACAAGCUAAAGAUGUCUCCAUCUAUUCAGUCUUUAGUUCCCUUGGUUUGUUCAUGGGCCACUUGU